CGGACUUCAUAUAAGCUUAAAUGCACUGAAGUUGUGUAGGUUAAAACAUAUUCUUUUUCCAGAAGCUUUUCAAAUGAAAUAUUAAAAUUACUGAGAUCCUUUGUUCAAAAGAAAGUAAUAUAAAAUAAUUAUUGAUAAUCUGGCAUUAAAUUUGCUUCAGGUAUAAAUACUAUAGAAUUCCAAACUUUGAAAAUAAUGAGUAUUAUAUUUGAAAAUUACUUAAAAAUAUUAGAGAUGUAUGAGAAGGGUAGACAUGGAGAUGUAUCAGAAGGAUAUUCUUAUGCAGUUUUAAUUUAACAUGGUUAAAUUUAACAUACAUGGUUGUUUUAACAUAUGAAUUAAAUUAGUAUAUUUGGUUAGUUUUAAAUGUAAAUAUACAUAUAUGUAUUAAAUAUACAUAUAUGUAUAGGUAUGUGAGUAUACAUAAUGUAUACAUACAUGUGUAUGUGUAAUAUGUGUAAUAGGAACAAACAUUCCUUCAAAACCUCAAUAUUAAGAUUAAUGAUACCAAUAUUUCAUAAUUACAGCCUCCUAUAAAAAGCCUAUCUGUAACAAAAAGUCUUCUCAUGGCUCCCUGAAUUAACUUUUGCACAUUAAAUGCAAGUUAAUUGUCCAAAUCUAUCUGGAAUUUCCCUAUACAGUUGAUAAGUAUCAUGAACCCUUCACAGAUGAUAGUAAAUGGUACUAUCAGUGAAAAUGGAGUCACUUAUUAUGAAAAAUUAAGAGGUCUAAAACACCCAGCAAACUAAAAUGGCAUCCUAUCAAUUUUUAACCUUAGAUGUGAUCAAAAUAGGCUAUUACUGCAAUAAUUAAGCAAUAAUUCAUCACUGAAAUGAUAAUGCUAUUAAAUCUGGUCAGCAAAGGGAAUGUGAUAAGGUUAUAAAAUAAGUGCUUAAGUUAUGUUAGGAGUUAUAAGUUAAAAGAUCAACUAAUAUAAAUAAUAUGAAGGGGCAUAAUAUAAAUGGCCACAAUUCUUAUAACACCAAAUAAUGUAUAAAAGUAUUGGCAUAAAAACAAUUUAUGUUAUUUUAAUAUUUCUAAUGAAGAAUUUCAUCAAUUGGAAAUAAUUUCACUAGUAGAUAUGCUGUGUCCAAAUUGGGUUUUAAAUGUAGAAAGUUAUUAAAUGAGCUCUAUUUAAGUCAGUUAUCUACCAUAUCAUUAAUCCUAUGGUAUUGGUCCAGUAAUUUUAAAAAGCUCUUUCUGUAAAUACAUAACGGAAGGAAAAGGGAGAAAAAAGUGUCAUUUGUGUACCUGCUGUUAAAAUGGUCAGAGAACAAGUUCUGAAUUGCAUUUAAUUAUGCCAGUCUCCAAUAUAGUGGUGAUUGAGCUUAGGCAAUAAUCAUAAUAUUUUCCUCAUUAAGGCCUUAUGCUGUCAUUACCAGUAGUAAAGAAUUACAGGUCACACCACCACCUAUGGAUUAUGAGCCAUUAUCACAAACUCUAAGGGGACUGUCCCCAGACAAUAUCAAAUAGCCAAUAUGAACUUUAUAUUUUCAGAAAAGGGAAAAGAAAAUAGAAUUAUUACUUAUAAUAUUCAAAUGUAUUAAGCAAAGUACAGUAUUUCACAUAGAUGUGUUUCUUUUUGUUUUUGAUAUUGAGAAAGUCCUAAAAUUUUUUUCAUAAAAAUAACUCUGGUAUGCUAAGUGUUGGACCAGUUUUUGGCAGUUUUUAUCACUUAUUCAUUCUUUCAUACUAGGCACCUGGCUAUCAUCUGAAUUAUCUCAAUUCCACCUUUCAGUUAAUAACUCCAUGUCUUUGUUACCAGGUUUGACAGGUUUUUAACAGCUAUUUUUUCCAUAACUAUUGUUAAUACUCUAACUAAAUAAGGGGUAAGUGGAUCUUAUCUACACUACUAAAUAGUCAUAAUGUCUCCUUAGGUCUCCAGUCUAUCUUUUGUUUUCAUUUUUUAAAAGUUUUAUUGAAGUAUAGUUGAUUUACAGUGUUGUAAUUUCUGCUGUGCAACAAAGUGAUUCAGUUAUAUGUGUAUGUACAUCCAUUCUCUUUCAGAUUCUUUUCCUACAUAGAUUAUUACAGAAUAUUGGAUAGACUUCUUUGUGCUAUACAAUAGGUCCCCAUUAACCAACCAUUUUUUAUACUUCAGUGUGCAUGUGCCAGUCCCAAACUCCCAGUCUAUUCCUCCCUACCAACUGUUCCUUUUGGUAAUCAAAAGUUUGUUUCCAAAGUAGCUUUGUAGCAUGGUCUGAAGUUGGCAAGCCUGACUCAUCCAGCUCUAUUUUUCUUUCUCAGGAUUGUUUAGGCUAUUCAAGGUCUUUUGUGUUUCCAUACAAAUUUAAUUUUUUUUCUAGUUUUAGUUUUAAUUUUGUUCUAGUUCUGUGAUAAAUGUCAUUGGUAAUUUGAAAAGGAUUGCAUUGAAUCUGUAGAUUUCCUUGGGUACUAUAGUUAUUUUGACAAUAUUGAUUCUGUUUUUAUCAUCUUUGAAAAUUAUAAGACACCAAUGAAGGAAAUCAGAGUACAGGUCUUUUGUUUCUCCCUGUAGGUUUAUUCUUAAUUUUUUUCUUCUUUUUGAUGUGAGGGCAAAGGGGAUUAUUUGCCUAAUUUCUCUUUUUGAUUUUUUAUUGUUCAUGUAUAGGAAUGCAACAAAUUUCUGUGUAUUAAUUUUGUAUUCUGCAAAUUUACCAACCUCAUUGUAGUUUUAUUCAUUUACACCUUUUAUGUAUUCUCUAGAGAGGCUCCUCUAAAACAAAACAUUUUAUGUUUUUAGGCAGUUUCUCAUUGCUUUAAAUGUGAUAUACAUUCGGUCACCUAGAUAAGUGGGUCUAAAACAUUAUUGUGCAUGUAAAUCCUUUGGUGAACUGGUUAGCUUAGCAAUUUCACUUGCUAGAUUCCAGACCCUCAAAAGUCUAAUCAAACAGGGUCUACAUGGAUUCAGGAAUCUACAUUUUAAUUAGCACCCACUGUGUGCUAGAUGAUCUAGUUAUCUUACCCCUAGCCACUUCCCCAACAUUUACCAUAUUUUAGGCAUACUUAAACAAAAUCACUUGUAGUAUUCCCUCUUCCUUCAUGCUGAGAGGUGCUGACAGUAGACUAUAAACAAAAAUUACGUCUAUAAUAAGUGUUAUGAAGAAAUAAGAUAAAGGCAUAGAAAAAGGACUAUAUUUUUAUAGGAUGGCAGUGAAGGCUUCUCUGUUACAGUAACUCUGAAUUGAGAUCCUAAUGAAGUAAAGGAGAAAGCCGUAUUAACAUCUGUGUUAAAAUCAUUCUGGACAAAGACAAAGGUCCUGAAUCUGGAGUUCCAUGACAAAGGAAUUAUAAUAGGAGACACAGUGUGAGAUGCAGGUAGGAACAUCAUCUUUUAGGGCUGGAUAAUAGAGAUUUCCAGUAAAGAAUACCAAGAAUGCCUAGGUAAAAAUGACCACCUGCUAAUGAAUUUUUCUGAGGUAGAAGAGUUAUGAUAAAUUUGACUUUUAAUAAAAUUGGAAGACAUUGUAGAGGAGUAGCUCUCAAUCUUUAGCAAGAAUCAGAGUUCCCUGCUAGGCUGGUUAAAACAUAUUGCUUGGCCUCAUCCCCAGGGUUUUCUGAUUCAGUAAUUUGGGGAGUUGGGCUUGAGACUCUGCAUUUCUAACAAGUUCCUGGUGAUGCAGAUACUACUGGUCUAAAUUCAAUAAUCCAAAAAUAACCAUUAAAAUAUUUUCAGCUAUGUAAUAACAAAAGAACAAUUUAUAAAUUCAGAGUGUCUAAAGGUUGAUUAGGAGUCAAUUAAGCUAAGACCUAGGGAGAGUUAGGACAAUUUCUGGCAAGAACAGAAUUCCUGAAAUCUUCAAGAAGUAAGGGAUUGAUUUCAUUUGUUUUUUAAGCUAACAAAGACUGGCAGUGAGAUUGCAGUGUGAAUAGUGAAAGGAAGGUGAUAAGAGAAGAACUCAGAUUGUGGCAGGAGAGAGAUCAAGGUAGAAAAAGAUCCUUCAAGGCUUUGUAGGCCAUGGUAAUUUAAAAAAUAAAAUUACAUUAAAAAUCUCUUUGAUGGAUUGAAAUGACGGAGUAACAUCAGAAUUAUUCUAAGUGUUUGAGGGAAAACUGAAUCUAUUGGGGAUUAAUAAACCAAGGAAGGAAAUAAAAGGACAGGAAUCAUUGAUUUCAGAAAAAAGUUGUAGUGGUUGAUUUCAUGUGUACAUAAAGAGUAUUAAUAACAAAAAUAAUUUACAUUUUUAGUCUUUCUGAAAUUUUCAAAAUAUUAUACAUAAAUUAACUUGACAACAAUCACUUGAAGUAGAUAUAAAUUAAUACCUCCUAUGAGAAUAUGAGGAGAGUUUCUCCCAAAAUGAACUGAAUUCUUGCCACUAUCAAAUAGAUCGAGGAGAUAUACUGGGAGAGAACAUGACACUUAAAGACAAAGUGAUCUCAGCCAUAUCAGAGGGUUGGGAGCACAAAGUAGCCCACAGGAAAAAGAUAGAAACACCUAAGGACAGAAACCACAAGAUACUGGUAUAUGCCCAUAUCUUGAGUAGGCUUGAUACAUAUAAAAAGGAAUUGGUAAAUCAUAAAAGGUAAAACAAAAAUGGCCAAGUAUAACAGCUGUGUUAUUUAUACAUACUGAAGUUUAUUAGUCAUGAGUUCACUUACAUAAUAAUCUUUGAGAAAAAAAUGCAGCUCUUUUAGUAAAAGUGCCUGUAAAUAGGCAGACAGAACUGCAAAUAUAUACUAGGUUGAUUUAAAUAGUUGUAUGUUUUCAGAUUUCUUAUUAUACUGGAGUAUAUAGCUUUUUAAAGCUAUGGAAGGACAUUUUGGAAAAUGGAAAUUAAAAACAAAUCCCUCAAUAGAAAACAUUAAAUUCAUGUAGCUUGGAAAGGGACAUUGGAAAGUAGUUUCAUGCUACUUCAUUUAUCCAGUUUUUACCUCAUACCUACAUACUCAUAUUGCAUCUACAUUUACUAUUCUAUAUGAAUUUAUUCUUUUGUAUGGGGAAAUAUGAAGAGAUUAGAUCAGAAUAAUAACCACAAAAAGAACAAAAAGAAAUGGAGGAACAGAGGAAUUGAAAUAGCUCAAUUUAAGAAAAUGCCCAACUAUUUGUUGAAGAAAUAAAGUAAUUUUUAGCUAUCAAGCAUUAGUAAGCACUAGUGCCUGGCAUUCUAAUAUUAGAAUUAUACCAUUUUUGUGCAAACUACCUACUUUAUGUAGAAGGAGAAGCUGUGAUCUAGUAGACCAACAGAACCUAAACUUGGAUUUAUGUACUCAUCCUAUUUUGCUAUCAUUUCUUAAUUGAAAUAUAUAUACCUUACCUUUCUUACUCCUAGACCAAUUCCAUCUUGUGACCUGGAAUACAUUUAUAAGGGUGCUAAUUUUGUGGCGAGGGCAAA
rnacentral:lncRNA from 1 species